GCCCGGCUAGCUCAAUCGGUAGAGCGUGAGACUCUUACGUUCCCUGCGGACAAACAAGUUAUCUCAAGGUUGUGGGUUCGACCCCCACGUUGGGCU